GACGAACGCUGGCGGCGUGCUUAACACAUGCAAGUCGAACGGAAAGGCCCUGCUUUUGUGGGGUGCUCGAGUGGCGAACGGGUGAGUAACACGUGAGUAACCUGCCCUUGACUUUGGGAUAACUUCAGGAAACUGGGGCUAAUACCGGAUAGGAGCUCCUGCUGCAUGGUGGGGGUUGGAAAGUUUCGGCGGUUGGGGAUGGACUCGCGGGUUAUCAGCUUGUUGGUGGGGUAGUGGCUUACCAAGGCUUUGACGGGUAGCCGGCCUGAGAGGGGGACCGGGCACAUUGGGACUGAGAUACGGACCAGACUCCUACGGGAGGCAGCAGGGGGGAAUAUUGCACAAUGGGCGGAAGCGUGAUGCAGCAACGCCGCGUGCGGGAUGACGGCCUUCGGGUUGUAAACCGCUUUCGACUGUGACGAAGCGUGAGUGACGGUAAUGGGUAAAGAAGCACCGGCUAACUACGUG
rnacentral:rRNA from 1 species